rnacentral:rRNA from 1 species
AUGGCUCUUUGAAAAUAUAUAAUAAAGAGUCUAGCCUGCCCAGUGGUUAAUUUAACGGCCGCGGUACUCUGACCGUGCGAAGGUAGCAUAAUCAUUUGUCUUAUAAUUGAAGUCUGGAAUGAAUGGUUUAACAAGAGCUAAACUGUCUCUAUUAAUAGGAUAAAAUUUUAUGAUUAAGUUAAAAAGCUUAAAUAUAAUUAAAAGACGAGAAGACCCUAUCGAGUUUAAGGAAAAUAAUUAAAAUUUUUAACAUUGAUGAAUACUAAAUAUUUAAUAAAACUUUAGUUGGGGCGAUUCAGGAACAAAUAAAGCUUCUUGUAAUUAAAAUCUAUUGGUAAAUACACGAUCCAUAAUUUGUGAUUAAAAGAAUUAAUUACCGUAGGGAUAACAGCAUUAUCUUUUUUGAGAGCUCAAAUCGAAAAAAAUGUUUGUGACCUCGAUGUUGGACCAAGAUAUCCUGAAGAUGUAGAAGUCUUUAAAGGUUGGUCUGUUCGACCAU